rnacentral:rRNA from 1 species
UACGUAGGUGGCAAGCGUUGUCCGGAUUUACUGGGCGUAAAGAGCGCGCAGGCGGUCGUUCAAGUCGCGUGUGAAAGCCCCCGGCUCAACUGGGGAGGGUCACGCGAUACUGAUCGACUCGAAGGCAGGAGAGGGUAGUGGAAUUCCCGGUGUAGUGGUGAAAUGCGUAGAUAUCGGAAGGAACACCAGUGGCGAAGGCGACUACCUGGCCUGUUCUUGACGCUGAGGCGCGAAAGCUAGGGGAGCAAACGGG